rnacentral:lncRNA from 1 species
CUCACUCGGCGGCAGAGAGGAGCAUGCUUGGAGCCUUCCACACAAUAUAAGACAGAGAUGAGAGGAAAAAGAUCGUUGGCAAGCUUAUAUUGAUAGACUAACCGGACAACCUGCUGCUUUUCAGGAAAAUUUUAAGACAUGGCUGAAUCGAAGGCUUACCGAUUUGGAGCAGUUCUGCUUCUUAUCCACUUAAUUUUCCUUGUCCCUGGAACCGAAGCAGCUUCCUUCCAGCGAAACCAGCUGCUUCAGAAAGAACCAGACCUCAGAUUGGAGAAUGUCCAGAAGUUUCCUAGUCCAGAAAUGAUCAGGGCUUUGGAGUACAUAGAAAAGCUCAGGCAGCAGGCCCACAGAGAAGAAAGCAGCCCAGACUACAAUCCCUACCAAGGCAUCUCU